UACGGAGGGAGCUAGCGUUGUUCGGAAUUACUGGGCGUAAAGCGCACGUAGGCGGCUUUGUAAGUUAGAGGUGAAAGCCCGGAGCUCAACUCCGGAACUGCCUUUAAGACUGCAUCGCUUGAAUCCAGGAGAGGUGAGUGGAAUUCCGAGUGUAGGGGUGAAAUUCGUAGAUAUUCGGAAGAACACCAGUGGCGAAGGCGGCUCACUGGACUGGUAGUGACGCUGAGGUGCGAAAGCGUGGGGAGCAAACAGG
rnacentral:rRNA from 1 species